UACAGAGGUGGCAAGCGUUGUUCAGAAUUACUGGGCGUAAAGGGCGCGUAGGCGGCCUUCUAAGUCAGACGUGAAAUCCCCCGGCUUAACCUGGGAACUGCGUCUGAUACUGGGAGGCUUGAGUAUGGGAGAGGGAUGUAGAAUUCCAGGUGUAGCGGUGAAAUGCGUAGAUAUCUGGAGGAAUACCGGUGGCGAAGGCGGCAUCCUGGACCAUUACUGACGCUGAAUCGCGAAAGCUAGGGGAGCAAACGGG
rnacentral:rRNA from 1 species